rnacentral:rRNA from 1 species
GAUGAACGCUGGCGGCGUGCUUAACACAUGCAAGUCGAGCGAAGCAGUUAAGAAGAUUCUUCGGAUGAUUCUUAACUGACUGAGCGGCGGACGGGUGAGUAACGCGUGGGUGACCUGCCCCAUACCGGGGGAUAACAGCUGGAAACGGCUGCUAAUACCGCAUAAGCGCACAGAGCUGCAUGGCUCGGUGUGAAAAACUCCGGUGGUAUGGGAUGGGCCCGCGUCUGACUAGGCAGUUGGCGGGGUAACGGCCCACCAAACCGACGAUCAGUAGCCGGCCUGAGAGGGCGACCGGCCACAUUGGGACUGAGACACGGCCCAAACUCCUACGGGAGGCAGCAGUGGGGAAUAUUGCACAAUGGGGGAAACCCUGAUGCAGCGACGCCGCGUGAGCGAAGAAGUAUUUCGGCAUGUAAAGCUCUAUCAGCAGGGAAGAUAAUGACGGU